UACGUAGGGUGCAAGCGUUGUCCGGAAUACUGGGCGUAAAGCGUGCGCAGGCGGUUGUGCAAGACAGAUGUGAAAUCCCCCGGGCUUAACCUGGGAAUUGCAUUUGUGACUGCACGGCUAGAGUGUGUCAGAGGGGGGGUAGAAUUCCACGUGUAGCAGUGAAAUGCGUAGAUAUGUGGAGGAAUACCGAUGGCGAAGGCAGCCCCCUGGGAUAACACUGACGCUCAUGCACGAAAGCGUGGGGGAGCAAACAGG
rnacentral:rRNA from 1 species